rnacentral:rRNA from 1 species
AUACCCUAUUAUUAAAAAUGUAAAUAUAAAAUGCUAAACUAGUAGUAGUUAUGUUCUUGAAAAUUAAAGAUUUCGGCGGUAUUUUAGUCUUUUCAGAGGAACCUGUCCUAUAAAUGAUAUUCCACGAUUUAUUAUACUUGUUUUAUUAGUUUGUAGAUCGUCGUCAGUUGAAUAUUUUUAAAGAAACUGAAUAUUCAAAAUUUUUUAUAAUAAAGAAAAUCAGAUCAAGGUGUAGAA